rnacentral:sRNA from 1 species
AAUAUUACUAACAUUCCACCAUCGUGAGAAGCAUUAUUGUAAUAAAGAUUCAUUAACUAAGAGUAGAACCCCUUCAUGACUUCGACAUCAUAUGUCAACUCUCUAAGGCCGUCCUAGAUACGCUUGAUUCCCCUACCAUCACACUUAAUAGCUUAGGUUAGUUUGAUCCAAGAAAACUAUGAUGGGUCAUCAAAUUAAUCCCAAGGCUAUUAGCGUCAUUCCGUUUAUGAGACUAUCUCGACGGCGGAGUGUUGCAGAUAGAGUUAGACCAAAAUCAGAUGAUGCAAUGGAGAACAUUUUUGAUUAAACCCAAAGAAUGUGUAUGUGUCCUCUACAUGUGUUGAUGGAAUAGUGUACGUCGGCAGGAUAGAAUUGCGACAGACUGACACCGAAGAUGAGCUCCUCGAUGGAAUAAAAGAGAAGAUAUGCAGUAGUUGAGUAAUUGAAUGUGGUCUGUAGUUGGAGUGCGGGAAUGAAUCAUGAUGGAUGAGUAAAGCUUACCGGCGCCAAUGAAUUAUGGAACGAAGACGAUGAAUUAGUAGAGCUUACCUUCAUCAUCGUCGUUCCAUAACUCAAUGGCUCUGUUGAUCUUUACUCAUCUUUCGUGAUUCAUUUCUGCACUCCAAAUACAAACCAUGAUCAAUGACUCAACCAUCCAUGUCUAUUACUCUAUUUUUCCGGUGAGCUCAUCUCCAUCGUUAGUCCGUCAUAAUUCUAUCCCAUUGAAGUACACUUCUCCAUCAGCACAUGUGGAGAACAUAGACUC